UACGUAGGGGGCUAGCGUUGUCCGGAAUCAUUGGGCGUAAAGAGCGUGUAGGCGGUCCGGUAAGUCCGCUGUGAAAGUCGGGGGCUCAACCCUCGAAUGCCGGUGGAUACUGUCGGGCUAGAGUGCGGAAGAGGCGAGUGGAAUUCCUGGUGUAGCGGUGAAAUGCGUAGAUAUCGGGAGGAACACCUGAGGCGAAGGCGGGCUACUGGGCCGAUACUGACGCUGAGGAGCGAAAGCGUGGGGAGCAAACAGG
rnacentral:rRNA from 1 species